AUUGAACGCUGGCGGCAGGCCUAACACAUGCAAGUCGAACGGUAACAGGAAACAGCUUGCUGUUUCGCUGACGAGUGGCGGACGGGUGAGUAAUGUCUGGGAAACUGCCUGAUGGAGGGGGAUAACUACUGGAAACGGUAGCUACUACCGCAUAACGUCCCAAGACCAAAGAGGGGGACCUUCGGGCCUCUUGCCAUCGGAUGUGCCCAGAUGGGAUUAGCUAGUAGGUGGGGUAACGGCUCACCUAGGCGACGAUCCCUAGCUGGUCUGAGAGGAUGACCAGCCACACUGGAACUGAGACACGGUCCAGACUCCUACGGGAGGCAGCAGUGGGGAAUAUUGCACAAUGGGCGCAAGCCUGAUGCAGCCAUGCCGCGUGUAUGAAGAAGGCCUUCGGGUUGUAAAGUACUUUCAGCGGGGAGGAAGGGAGUAAAGUUAAUACCUUUACUCAUUGACGUUACCCGCAGAAGAAGCACCGGCUAACUCCGUG
rnacentral:rRNA from 1 species